UCUGAGAUGGGAAAGAAACCGCAGCUCAACUCAAAGCCUAUAAGAAAUCGACAAAUGCCACCCCACAUCCGCAUUCACUUUCCUCUCACUCUCACUCAGUGAACAACACUGUGCUUGAAAGCAGAUCUACAAGAGAAGAACCACAACGAAAAUCCAAGAGUGAAAACAGAGGCCAGUACACUAAGCUGUCCUAAAUACCUGGACUGUGACCCAGACUAUGAGGAGCUGCGGAGGAAAAGGAGAAGAAGGGUUUUCAUCUAAAAAAACCUUAAGCUGCAGAGACAACAGUGAUGCAGGUGCAAGGCUAAGGAUCACAGACCACACACAUGGAAAGAAACAUCAUCAUCAUCAUCAGGCACACUGAUGUUCAUUUGCACAAAAGUUUCUUCUUGAUUGAAGCGCAGUCCAUGACCAUAAAAAGUAAGGGGGAGCGAUCCUUAUGACAAUGAGAUCACUUAUUUUCUAGCUCAGGCACAUGCUUCUAUUCACACAUGCAUUAAACACACACACACAUGCACAUCUCCAUCUCUCUGUGAAGUUCAGACCAUCAUGCUUGAGUGCACAGAACAAGUUCGGGUCGAGCUUCAAAUCCCACUGGAGAGCAAAUUAAAAACGACUGCUUCAAGAGCUGGUUAAAAUUCUUAGGUUUUAUUACUCCUUUCUCUCACAGAGCUGUUGACAAAAAAAGAGAGAGAAGAAAGCAGGGAGAAGUGCAAUGUCGAAAGCCAGAAGUAAUUCCGCAUAGGCAUUUUACGAUGGAAACUUCAGUGAAAUGUAAUUUCAAUGCUCGUUCGCUCCAGAAAGCAAAGUCCCAUAUCGUAUCAGAGAGAAAAAGUGUAUGUGUGUGCAUGUCAAAAAAAAGAGAGAAAUGGGGAGCACUGAUCUGUCUUUAUAUCUAUCAUAUGUCAGUGAAAAUAGCAUCACAAAUAUUAAUGUCUUCCCAUUUUUAUAAAUAGUUUGCAUUCUCAGUUUUGUUGCUAUGAUGUUAUAAUUAAUUAUUUAUUUAUUUAUUUAUUAUCUGUAAAAUACAUGACUAGAUUCAAAAUAUUUAGCAAUAUUUAAAAAUGGAAAUAAAAAGAAAGGUUUACAAUUUGUAAUAAUAAUAUAAUAAUAAU